GGUUGAUCCUGCCAGUAGUCAUAUGCUUGUCUUAAAGACUAAGCCAUGCAUGUCUAAGUAUAAAUAUUAUACAGUGAAACUGCGAAUGGCUCAUUAAAACAGUUAUAGUUUAUUCGAUAAUUUCUCCUACAUGGAUAACCGUAGUAAUUCUAGAGCUAAUACAUGCUGUCAAACCUGACUUCUUGGAAGGGUUGUAUUUAUUAGAUAUCCUCUUGGUAGUGGUGAAUGGGAGUGGGAGUGGGAUGUUGAGUGUAUAAAUUGUAAAAUGACACUUCUCUAAAAUUUGUCACUUU
rnacentral:rRNA from 1 species